AGCCUGAUGCAGCGACGCCGCGUGGGGGAUGACGGCCUUCGGGUUGUAAACCCCUUUCAGUAGGGAAGAAGCGAGAGUGACGGUACCUGCAGAAGAAGCGCCGGCUAACUACGUGCCAGCAGCCGCGGUAAUACGUAGGGCGCAAGCGUUGUCCGGAAUUAUUGGGCGUAAAGAGCUUGUAGGUGGCUUGUCGCGUCUGCCGUGAAAACCCGAGGCUCAACCUCGGGCGUGCGGUGGGUACGGGCAGGCUAGAGUGUGGUAGGGGAGACUGGAACUCCUGGUGUAGCGGUGAAAUGCGCAGAUAUCAGGAAGAACACCGAUGGCGAAGGCAGGUCUCUGGGCCAUUACUGACACUGAGAAGCGAAAGCAUGGGUAGCGAACAGGAUUAGAUACCCUGGUAGUCCAUGCCGUAAACGUUGGGCACUAGGUGUGGGGGACAUUCCACGUUUUCCGCGCCGUAGCUAACGCAUUAAGUGCCCCGCCUGGGGAGUACGGCCGCAAGGCUAAAACUCAAAGGAAUUGACGGGGGCCCGCACAAGCGGCGGAGCAUGCUGAUUAAUUCGAUGCAACGCGAAGAACCUUACCAAGGCUUGACAUGCACUGGACGGCUGCAGAGAUGUGGCUUUCUUUGGACUGGUGCACAGGUGGUGCAUGGUUGUC
rnacentral:rRNA from 1 species